AGUGAACGCUGGCGGUAGGCCUAACACAUGCAAGUCGAACGGCAGCACAGUAAGAGCUUGCUCUUACGGGUGGCGAGUGGCGGACGGGUGUGGAAUACAUCGGAAUCUACUUUUUCGUGGGGGAUAACGUGGGGAAACUUACGCUAAUACCGCAUACGACCUACGGGUGAAAGCAGGGGAUCUUCGGACCUUGCGCGAUUGAAUGAGCCGAUGUCGGAUUAGCUAGUUGGCGGGGUAAAGGCCCACCAAGGCGACGAUCCGUAGCUGGUCUGAGAGGAUGAUCAGCCACACUGGAACUGAGACACGGUCCAGACUCCUACGGGAGGCAGCAGUGGGGAAUAUUGGACAAUGGGCGCAAGCCUGAUCCAGCCAUACCGCGUGGGUGAAGAAGGCCUUCGGGUUGUAAAGCCCUUUUGUUGGGAAAGAAAAGCAGCAGGUUAAUACCCCGCUGUUCUGACGGUACCCAAAGAAUAAGCACCGGCUAACUUCGUG
rnacentral:rRNA from 1 species